rnacentral:lncRNA from 1 species
ACCAUCGGGUUCUUGGUCAGCCCUUCUCCCCCAAUUGCUCAGUUUGGCCGGGCGGCCAGCUCUAGGAAGAGUUUUGGUGGUUCCAAUCUUAAUCCAUUGAAGAAUAAUGGAGGCCACUGUGUUCUUGGAGACCUUCAAUGCUGCAACCGUUUUUUUGGUACCCUUCCCCAGAUCUGUGCCUCGACACAAUCCUGUCUCAGAGAUCUAUGGACAAUUUCUUCCACAAGAUGCACCUGAGCUCAAAGAGUCUGAAUUUUUAUGUCAAUUAAUCUAAAAUCCUCUUUUUGCUUUGUCAUUCUGGGGUAUUGUGUGUAGAUUGAUUAGGAAAACAUGUAAUUUAAUCAAUUUUAGAAUAAGUCUGUAACGUAACAAAAUGUGGAAUAAGUCAAGGGGUCUGAAUACUUUCUGAAGGCACUCGACACGUCAGUGGAGGCUCCUCAGAGGAGGAAGGGGAGGACCAUCCUCAGUGAAUUUCAUAAAAAUAAAAAUUGUAAAACAUUAAAGUUAUCCUUUUUAGAUAAAACUAUACUAAAUAUAUUCACGCCAACAAAUAAUUGAUUAAAACACACCAUUUUGCAAUGAAGGUCUACAGCCAACAGGUCUACAGUCAACAGCACUCUGUAGGGUAGCACCGAGGUGUAGCCUGAGGACAGCUAGCUUCCGUCCUCCUCUUGGCACAUGGACUUCAAUACAAAACCUAGGAGGCUCAUGGUUCUCACCCCACCUUCCAUAGACUUACACAGUAAUUAUGACAACAUCCGGAGGACGUCCUCCAACCUGUCAGAGCUCUUGCAACAUGAACUGACAUGUUGUCCACCCAAUCAAAGGAUCAGAGAAUGAAUCUAGUACUGAAAGCAUAAACUACAGAUAGCUAACACUGCAGUGCAUAAAAUGUGGUGAGUAGUUGACUCAAAGAGAGAGACAAUAGUUUAAUUAACAGUUUUGAACAAAAUAAUUUCUUCAAAAAAGGAUUAGCAAGAGUCAUUUAUUUUUCACUUUCAUUAACUUAGCUAGCACAUGCAGCUAGCUAGCUAGCUUAGCCUACUCAGAGGGAUGUUAGCUAGCUAGCUAUGACUAUCCAACACAACACUGGAACCCUUCCAAGUCAAGGUAAGCUUUUGGUUUUAUUAAUUUAUUGCCAACAGGGUUUACUAACGCUUUAGUUCUAUUAGCUAUUUUGACUAUGACGUUACUUUAGCUAAUAUGGGGACAACGAUGCAGGCUGUGUGUAGUGGUUAUGAUAUGGUUUGGCUUGGAAACGUUUUUUACUCCUGGUCACAUAUAGCUGAUGUGUUGUGCAUUGAAGUCCACAAGGGGAAAAAGGUGAGAGGAGACGGUAUAGACGCGAGAAGGAAUACAACGUGGCUGCUAUGAAAGUGAACUGUGUUUACGCGUAAUCAGGGGUGUAUUCGUUUCGACGAUUCUGUUAAGUUUCUUAAACGGAAGCAAACGGAACAAAACGGGGAUAAAUAUACCUGAAUUUGUCCAAUAGAAAACUCUCGUUUGGAACUGUUGGACUAAAUGAUGACACCCUAGAUGCAGGUCAGACUGUGAAAGGCGGUAUUGAAUGUGUCACUGUCACCUCAAAUGUUUCUCUCGUUGUAAAUAAGGCCAUGCUUAUGAAUAAAUAAAUCGUCCUCCCUCGUCAUAAACGCCAGCGAUAUCCCAUAAUACGCCCCCUGAUCACCACGGUAACACGUCCUGUUACCCAGAACCCCCGAGGUCAGAGGUCAACAGUAUUGGUGUUAUCACCCUUAAAUCAGCCAAUCAAUGACCUGAUUAAGACCUGAGUAAUCAAAAGGUUGUAAAUAAUACAAAGUUCACAGUGUGUGUAUUUGUUCGUGUGUGUGUGUUCAGUGUGUGUUCAGUGUGUUGUGUGUGUGUGUGUGUGUGUGUGCGUGUUAGUGUGAGUGUGUUCAGUGUGUGUGUGUGCGUGCGUGCGUGUGUGUGUGUUAGUGUGUUCAGUGUUGUGUGUGUGUGUGUGUUCAGUGUGUGUGUGUUCAGUGUGUGUGUGUGUGUGUGUGUGUGUGUGUGCUCCUCUCACAGAACAGAAACAGAAACAUGGAAUAAUGUUGUUCAGGUCUACUGUAAUGGUUCUAUUAAAGACAUGGACCCAACAUUCAGACAUGUUACUAACUAAUAAAUACAUGACAACCCCCC